CGAUUUUCUUCAAGCGAGAGUGGAACCGGAACUGGCCGUUCCUCGCUGGGUUCGCCAUCACCGGAACCCUAAUCACCAAGUUCUCUCUCGGCCUCACUGAGGAAGAUGCCAAGAACUCGCCUUUCGUUCAGAGGCACAAGAGGUGAUUUCUGAAUGCCGUGGUAGCCACCUUUGUACUCGAGUUGUGGAGGAGGAGGUUCUUGUGCUAUUUUCAAGGACUAUAAUAACGAAAGAGAGAUGUUCUAGAUACUCUUUUUGAGUUUUCUGUUAUGUUUUGAAUGACUUGAAUAACAUGGGAAGAAAGACUGCUAUUCGUUGGUUUUGAAUUUGGUGCAUUCGCCUGACAUUCUUCAAAAAUGAAACAAAAGUUGUGUUA